rnacentral:lncRNA from 1 species
GUGCUAUUAACAUUAGUAGUUUCUUAGCCUGUAUUUCAGGCAUAGUGUACUUUUGCUUUUUUUUGCAGGCUACUGCCAUAGUUACUACAAAAUCCCAGGAUUUCCAGUUUAAUUUGUAAAAUCAAAUUUUCCUAAGAGCCAUACACUUUUAUUUUACACAAGCAUGUCUCACUUAUAUUAGCCACAAUGAUGCAGGCCAAGAUCUACAAAAGUACCUGUGUCCAGGUACAGACACUUGCUACUGUUCUCAGUCUACGGUCUUCUGCUGCAUAACAUGGAUUACAUAACAGGAGGCUCAAAUGCAUGCUUGAAUUUUAGAGGAGUAAGUGGCAUAAAAAGAACAUGUGCUUAGGAAGCUGGCAAAAUAUGGCUUUCUGACAUUCAUAUUUGAUUUGUCAGCAUAUUUGAUGUGUAUCAGUGCUUAUGUCAUUUCGUCCUGAUAACACAUCCUGAUAACAUUCACUCAGAGAUAUGCUUCCGAGAAUUGACAUGAUACAGCUUGAGAAGGAAGGAGCAAAGCUCCAUUUUCAUAUUGGAUGGUUUUGCUUCACAGAAAGCAAGAUGUGAUCCUGUUUGACUGCUGGGAUUACAGAUGUACCUUCUAAAGGAGUUACUCUUACAAGACAACGAAAGAGCUCUUCAUCCCAAGCAAAGAGCUGACCUGAGAAGUCCGCAGGAGGAUUAUUUCCUAUUUCAGGGCUGCAACAGGAAGGCUGGAGAAAAUACCUGCCUCAGCACAGUUUUUAACUUGGCAGGAAAAAAUAGAAAAUAAAAUUAAGGAGGUGGAAAACACAUUUUACAUUCCCUGAUGCUCAAAAGUCCUCAGAGACCUCACCUUUACUCGGAAAAAGAAUGGAGUCAGCUGAACUAUAAAAUCUGCUCAACUUUGAUGGACAGGUUGAUGUGAACAUUAUGGACAACCC